rnacentral:tRNA from 1 species
UUAAUAGAAGCCAAAAAAGAGGCCAUUCAUUGUUAAUGAAUAAAUUGAAUUUUCCUAUU